rnacentral:sRNA from 1 species
AAAGUUGGGUUCAGUUGUGUUAGUCUGUAUUCUGUUGGUGUAUACCAGAAUACUUGAAACUGGGUAAUUCAUACAUUUUCUACAGUUCUAGAGGCUGAGAAGUCCAAGGUGGAGGAGCCACAUCUGGCCUUGGACCUCCAGUCUCGGAUACUGAAGCGAGUUCCACUGGAGCAACCAGAAAUGAUUCCCUCCCAGAAGCAACUGGCAGCCUCUAUCUGCAUCCAAUUUGCAGAGCACUACCUGGCAGAGAAAGAGUAUGACAAGGCGGUACGGUCUUAUAAGGAUGUCUUCUCCUACUUGCCAACUGACAAUAAGGUGAUGCUGGAGCUGGCGCAGCUCUACCUGCUCCAGGGGCACCUGGACCUGUGUGAGCAGCACUGUGCCAUCCUCCUGCAGACUGAGCAGAACCAUGAGACCGCUUCUGUGUUGAUGGCUGACCUGAUGUUUAGAAAACAGAAACAUGAAGCGGCCAUCAAUCUUUACCACCAAGUCUUGGAGAAAGCGCCAGACAAUUUUUUGGUAUUGAAUAAAUUAAUCGAUCUGCUAAGAAGAAGUGGUAAACUUGAAGACAUUCCUGCCUUCUUUGAAUUGGCCAAGAAGGUGUCUAGCCGGGUGCCUUUGGAACCAGGGUUCAAUUACUGCAGAGGUAUCUACUGCUGGCACAUAGGGCAGCCCAACGAAGCCUUAAAGUUCCUGAACAAGGCACGCAAGGACAGCACUUGGGGCCAGAGCGCCAUCUACCACAUGGUGCAGAUCUGUCUGAAUCCAGACAACGAGGUUGUGGGCGGAGAGGCUUUUGAGAACCAGGGGGCUGAGAGCAACUACAUGGAGAAGAAGGAGUUGGAGCAGCAGGGUGUGAGCACUGCCGAGAAACUGCUGCGUGAGUUUUACCCACAUUCAGACUCCAGCCAGACCCAGCUGCGGCUGCUGCAGGGCCUCUGCCGGCUGGCCACCAGGGAGAAGGCUAACAUGGAGGCUGCGCUGGGCAGCUUCAUCCAGAUAGCACAGGUUGAGAAGGACAGCGUCCCUGCCCUGCUGGCCUUGGCACAAGCCUACGUGUUCCUGAAGCAGAUCCCCAAGGCGCGUAUGCAGUUGAAGCGCCUGGCCAAGACCCCCUGGGUGCUGAGUGAGGCUGAGGACCUGGAGAAGAGCUGGCUCCUGCUGGCCGACAUUUACUGCCAGGGCAGCAAGUUCGACCUUGCCUUAGAACUGCUGCGGCGCUGUGUGCAAUACAACAAGUCCUGCUACAAGGCCUAUGAGUACAUGGGCUUCAUCAUGGAGAAGGAGCAGUCCUACAAGGAUGCAGUCACCAACUACAAACUGGCCUGGAAGUACAGUCAUCACGCCAACCCUGCCAUUGGCUUCAAACUUGCUUUCAACUACCUGAAGGACAAGAAAUUUGUGGAGGCCAUCGAAAUCUGCAACGAUGUCCUCAGGGAGCACCCCGACUACCCCAAGAUCAGGGAGGAAAUUUUGGAAAAGGCCCGAAGGUCCCUGAGGCCCUAGCUGGGGUCAAGGGGCCUGGACCAGUAGAAGCCAUCAACCUACUGAAGUUGUGUGGAGGGAUGGAAAGUGGGUCAGUGGAGAAGGGAGUCAGAAAAUGACACAUUCUUCCCC